AAUCACAGAUGGUGUCAUCCAGCAGCUAGAGGCUAAAAAGGGGCACUCUACAAACUGAAUGAAAACAUAUUGAGUUAUAUAAUCAGAAGCACAAGCAAAUGGAAGCAAAAGUGUGACUAUCAACAGUGAGUUGCAGCAUGAAUUCUGAGUACAGCAAAAGGCCAGACUGGUCUCCAUCAAGUGCUUUGAGCACGUUUAAACAGCUACAGUGAUGUCACCAAAGGAGACUCUUCUCGGCGUUCGGAUCUACAAGGGAGGGUUCAAAAAUGUUAAACAAAAACGAUGAAGAAAAAGGUCAGGUGCCAGAGCUUGAUGAACGAGAUAGAAUUGCACAAUGGGAUCAAAGGGACAGCCAGCCCAGUUUAUUUCCAGAGGAAAAGCUUACCAGUACACAAAGGAGAAAAAAGGACUCGGCUUGAAACCAAUUCUUUCCCGAAGUGCAAAUAUUCUAGGUCCAGCAACCUAAGACUGGAAUCAGAAAUGAGUUGA
rnacentral:lncRNA from 1 species